AGUAAAUAGAUACCCUGGUAGUCCACGCCGUAAACGAUGUCGACUUGGAGGUUGUGCCCUUGAGGCGUGGCUCCCGGAGCUAAACGCGUUAAGUCGACCGCCUGGGGAGUACGGCCGCAAGGUUAAACUCAAAUGAAUUGACGGGGGCCCGCACAAGCGGUGGAGCAUGUGGUUUAAUUCGAUGCAACGCGAAGAACCUUACCUACUCUUGACAUCCAGAGAACUUAGCAGAGAUGCUUUGGUGCCUUCGGGAACUCUGAGACAGGUGCUGCAUGGCUGUCGUCAGCUCGUGUUGUGAAAUGUUGGGUUAAGUCCCGCAACGAGCGCAACCCUUAUCCUUUGUUGCCAGCGGUUAGGCCGGGAACUCAAAGGAGACUGCCAGUGAUAAGCUGGAGGAAGGUGGGGAUGACGUCAAGUCAUCAUGGCCCUUACGAGUAGGGCUACACACGUGCUACAAUGGCGCAUACAGAGAGAAGCGACCUCGCGAGAGCAAGCGGACCUCAUAAAGUGCGUCGUAGUCCGG
rnacentral:rRNA from 1 species